rnacentral:rRNA from 1 species
CAGUAGCCGCGGUAAUACGAAGGGGGCUAGCGUUGCUCGGAAUUACUGGGCGUAAAGGGCGCGUAGGCGGACAGCUCAGUCGGGGGUGAAAGCCCGGGGCUCAACCUCGGAAUUGCCUUCGAUACUGGCUGUCUUGAGUAUGAGAGAGGUGUGUGGAACUCCGAGUGUAGAGGUGAAAUUCGUAGAUAUUCGGAAGAACACCAGUGGCGAAGGCGACACACUGGCUCAUUACUGACGCUGAGGCGCGAAAGCGUGGGGAGCAAACAGGAUUAGAUACCCCCGUAGUCCCUGUCUCUUAUAC